rnacentral:rRNA from 1 species
AAUCAACGCUGGCGGCGUGCCUCAGACAUGCAAGUCGAACGAUUAAAGCUCUCUUCGGAGAGUGUAUAGAGUGGCGCACGGGUGAGUAACACGUAAGUAAUCUACCUUCGAGUGGGGAAUAACGUUCGGAAACGAACGCUAAUACCGCAUAAUGCAGCGGCAUCGCAAGAUGACAGUUGUUAAAGGAAUUUAUUUCGCUUGAAGAGGAGCUUGCGGCAGAUUAGCUAGUUGGUAAGGUAACGGCUUACCAAGGCUACGAUCUGUAUCCGGUCUAAGAGGACGGUCGGACACACUGACACUGAAUAACGGGUCAGACUCCUACGGGAGGCAGCAGUCGGGAAUUUUGGGCAAUGGGCGAAAGCCUGACCCAGCAACGCCGCGUGAAGGAUGAAGUAUUUCGGUAUGUAAACUUCGAAAGAAUGGGAAGAAUAAAUGACGGUACCAUUUAUAAGCUCCGGCUAACUACGUGCCAGCCGCCGCAGUAACAC